AUGGAUACAAAUCCCCAAAUUCUAUGUUGGAAUGUGCACAGGCUGAACUGUCCCACGAAGAGGGCAGCAGUUAGGGAGUUUGUGCAGGAAGCCAAGGUGAACCUGGUGUGCCUGCAGGAAACAAAACUUGAUUUACUGGAUCAAUUUGUGGUUCUUCAAUGUUUAGGUCCCUCCUUUGACGGCUUCGAUUAUUUACUGGCGUGCGAGACUCGUGGCGGGAUUCUGCUUGUGUGGGAUAGAUCGGUGAUGGAUGUGGAUGGCCUUGUGCACGACACCAACUCCCUUAGUGGCCUGGUUCACAAUAAGGAUGGUACUAACUGUGGAUCACUGGGGUCUAUGGACCGCAAGAAGACGAGCUUAAAACCGUGUUUCUUGAGGAUCUUCGUGCUAGGAGGCUAG
rnacentral:rRNA from 1 species